rnacentral:lncRNA from 1 species
UUUGUUAUAAUGUUAAUGGGACAAUGUAAUUUGUAUUUUGUCUAAGUUUGCAGUUUUUAUUAUUGGGUUGUAAUUUUCAGCUGGACAACAGUGUUUCAUACAUUUUAUUUUCUUUCUAUUGGCUUGAAGCUGCAAAUUUUUUCUUUUUUAAUGUUUGUAGAUAUAUCAAAAUUUCAAAGUUUGAAACCACCACCAACACUAUCUAUUUAAAAUAGGCUAGUUAUAUCCUUAACAUUAACCAAUUAACCAAUUUAGAGAGCCCAUUAAGCUGUUGGGCCAUUUUUGCCCAUUUCUAGAUUCCAAACAAAAAAAAAAAUCGGGCCUGUCAGGUCGGGCCUGUCGGGUCGGGCCUGUCGGGUCGGGGCCUGUCGGGUCGGGGCGGUCGGGUCGGGCCUGUCGGGUCGGGCCUGGGACCAGAUUUAUAAGGUUGGGUCGGGCCUGGACAAAAAUUUAAGCCCGACAG